CGCCCGUCGCACCUACCGAUUGAAUGGUCCGGUGAAGACUCGAGAUUUUGGUCUAGCUCCUUUAUUGGGGCUUGACCGCGAGAACCUGUCUAAACCUUAUCAUUUAGAGGAAGGUGAAGUCGUAACAAGGUUUCCGUAGGUGAACCUGCGGAAGGAUCAUUA
rnacentral:rRNA from 1 species